ACGCUCCUCUUCUCUGUCGUU
rnacentral:siRNA from 1 species